UCGUCACACUAUCAUUAACUGAAUCCAUAGGUUAAUGAGGCGAACCGGGGGAACUGAAACAUCUAAGUACCCCGAGGAAAAGAAAUCAACCGAGAUUCCCCCAGUAGCGGCGAGCGAACGGGGAGGAGCCCAGAGCCUGAAUCAGCAUGUGUGUUAGUGGAAGCGUCUGGAAAGGCGCGCGAUACAGGGUGACAGCCCCGUACACAAAAGCGCAUGUGCUGUGAGCUCGAUGAGUAGGGCGGGACACGUGGUAUCCUGUCUGAAUAUGGGGGGACCAUCCUCCAAGGCUAAAUACUCCUGACUGACCGAUAGUGAACCAGUACCGUGAGGGAAAGGCGAAAAGAACCCCGGCGAGGGGAGUGAAAAAGAACCUGAAACCGUGUACGUACAAGCAGUGGGAGCACCCUUUGGGUGUGACUGCGUACCUUUUGUAUAAUGGGUCAGCGACUUAUAUUCUGUAGCAAGGUUAACCGAAUAGGGGAGCCGGAGGGAAACCGAGUCUUAACCGGGCGUUAAGUUGCAGGGUAUAGACCCGAAACCCGGUGAUCUAGCCAUGGGCAGGUUGAAGGUUGGGUAACACUAACUGGAGGACCGAACCGACUAAUGUUGAAAAAUUAGCGGAUGACCUGUGGCUGGGGGUGAAAGGCCAAUCAAACCGGGAGAUAGCUGGUUCUCCCCGAAAGCUAUUUAGGUAGCGCCUCGUGAAUUCAUCUCCGGGGGUAGAGCACUGUUUCGGCUAGGGGGCCAUCCCGGCUUACCAACCCGAUGCAAACUGCGAAUACCGGAGAAUGUUAUCACGGGAGACACACGGCGGGUGCUAACGUCCGUCGUGAAGAGGGAAACAACCCAGACCGCCAGCUAAGGUCCCAAAGUCAUGGUUAAGUGGGAAACGAUGUGGGAAGGCCCAGACAGCCAGGAUGUUGGCUUAGAAGCAGCCAUCAUUUAAAGAAAGCGUAAUAGCUCACUGGUCGAGUCGGCCUGCGCGGAAGAUGUAACGGGGCUAAACCAUGCACCGAAGCUGCGGCAGCGACACUGUGUGUUGUUGGGUAGGGGAGCGUUCUGUAAGCCUGUGAAGGUGUGUCGUGAGGCAUGCUGGAGGUAUCAGAAGUGCGAAUGCUGACAUAAGUAACGAUAAAGCGGGUGAAAAGCCCGCUCGCCGGAAGACCAAGGGUUCCUGUCCAACGUUAAUCGGGGCAGGGUGAGUCGACCCCUAAGGCGAGGCCGAAAGGCGUAGUCGAUGGGAAACGGGUUAAUAUUCCCGUACUUGGUGUUACUGCGAAGGGGGGACGGAGAAGGCUAUGUUGGCCGGGCGACGGUUGUCCCGGUUUAAGCGUGUAGGUGUGUGUUCCAGGUAAAUCCGGUUCACUUUAACACUGAGGCGUGACGACGAGGCACUACGGUGCUGAAGCAACAAAUGCCCUGCUUCCAGGAAAAGCCUCUAAGCAUCAGGUAACAUCAAAUCGUACCCCAAACCGACACAGGUGGUCAGGUAGAGAAUACCAAGGCGCUUGAGAGAACUCGGGUGAAGGAACUAGGCAAAAUGGUGCCGUAACUUCGGGAGAAGGCACGCUGACACGUAGGUGAAGUGAUUUACUCAUGGAGCUGAAGUCAGUCGAAGAUACCAGCUGGCUGCAACUGUUUAUUAAAAACACAGCACUGUGCAAACACGAAAGUGGACGUAUACGGUGUGACGCCUGCCCGGUGCCGGAAGGUUAAUUGAUGGGGUCAGCGCAAGCGAAGCUCCUGAUCGAAGCCCCGGUAAACGGCGGCCGUAACUAUAACGGUCCUAAGGUAGCGAAAUUCCUUGUCGGGUAAGUUCCGACCUGCACGAAUGGCGUAAUGAUGGCCAGGCUGUCUCCACCCGAGACUCAGUGAAAUUGAACUCGCUGUGAAGAUGCAGUGUACCCGCGGCAAGACGGAAAGACCCCGUGAACCUUUACUAUAGCUUGACACUGAACAUUGAGCCUUGAUGUGUAGGAUAGGUGGGAGGCUUUGAAGUGUGGACGCCAGUCUGCAUGGAGCCGACCUUGAAAUACCACCCUUUAAUGUUUGAUGUUCUAACGUGGACCCGUUACCCGGGUUGCGGACAGUGUCUGGUGGGUAGUUUGACUGGGGCGGUCUCCUCCUAAAGAGUAACGGAGGAGCACGAAGGUUGGCUAAUCCUGGUCGGACAUCAGGAGGUUAGUGCAAUGGCAUAAGCCAGCUUGACUGCGAGCGUGACGGCGCGAGCAGGUGCGAAAGCAGGUCAUAGUGAUCCGGUGGUUCUGAAUGGAAGGGCCAUCGCUCAACGGAUAAAAGGUACUCCGGGGAUAACAGGCUGAUACCGCCCAAGAGUUCAUAUCGACGGCGGUGUUUGGCACCUCGAUGUCGGCUCAUCACAUCCUGGGGCUGAAGUAGGUCCCAAGGGUAUGGCUGUUCGCCAUUUAAAGUGGUACGCGAGCUGGGUUUAGAACGUCGUGAGACAGUUCGGUCCCUAUCUGCCGUGGGCGCUGGAGAACUGAGGGGGGCUGCUCCUAGUACGAGAGGACCGGAGUGGACGCAUCACUGGUGUUCGGGUUGUCAUGCCAAUGGCACUGCCCGGUAGCUAAAUGCGGAAGAGAUAAGUGCUGAAAGCAUCUAAGCACGAAACUUGCCCCGAGAUGAGUUCUCCCUGAGACUUAGAGUCUCCUGAAGGAACGUUGAAGACGACGACGUUGAUAGGCCGGGUGUGUAAGCGCAGCGAUGCGUUGAGCUAACCGGUACUAAUGAACCGUGAGGCUUAACCUUACAACGCCGAAG
rnacentral:rRNA from 1 species